rnacentral:rRNA from 1 species
GGAUGCGAUCAUACUAGCACUAAUGCACCGGAUCCCAUCAGAACUCCGAAGUUAAGCGUGUUUGGGUGAGGGUAGUACUAGGAUGGGUGACCCCCUGGGAAGUCCUCGUGUUGCAUCCC